AUGGCUAAAAAGAAAUUUUGGAACACCAGGAAGUUUAGUUCUAAUUUAUUCAAACAUCCAUUUCUUUCUAUCAGGAGGUGUACUCCGUACAUCGAGUUGUCUUCGUACUUGACGUACUUGUAGAUCUCAAUCACCGCUGUCAUAGGUGAUAUUUGUACUUGUGUCCACAAGGGUUCGUUGUAUUUAUGAUACACCCAUUGUUGUUAUCCACAAGUAUUCAUUUGCAGAGAAUCGUUGUAUCAACUACGACCUCUUGGAAAUAUUUGUAGAAGACCCAUUAUUCCUACAUCAUAUCCACCUUUCACCAAUCUCAGGUGGCAGGUGAUGUUCGUGUGUAGGGAUUGAUCUUCUACCAUCAAUUGACAGUGCUACCUUCUUCAAUCAACAGGGAUUGUCAUAGGAGUUCAUUACAUCAUGCUUAUAUAUAUUUGUGAUGUAUUGCAGAAUUCCUCACAUUUGCUCACAAACAUGUAUCGAAUGUACAACAGACCUCCAAAAAAGGAUCGUAAGCAUUUGCAUUUGGCAUAAUAACUUUGUAUCUUGCUUAUGAACAAUGAAUUGAGUGUACCACGAGUUCUCUACAGUGGCUCGUGGAUACUUACAUUUGUUAUAAUCAUUUGGUACUUUGUUUGUAGAUGAUACUUCACAUACAUGAAAUACUUUUUUACGACGACUCGUAGGAAUUUGGAUUCAUCGUAGCCUUAUAUCUUUGCUUAUGGAGAAUAGAUGUACUUGUGUCUAUAGAGGAUUUACUACGCUUAUUAUGUAUCCACUAUUGUUAUCCAUAAGUAAUUUCAGUGGUCGUCGUAGAGGAUAAAUGAAUCCAUAUGUUUAUUGACCUUCAUUACUUACAAGUAUCACUACUUUGAUCUAUAAGUAAGUGGUUGUAUGCAUGAAGAGCCUUAUAUCAUUGCAUGUAGACACUUCAUCAUAUUUCUCAUUCAAUCAUCGCAUGGAUGUCAACUUAAUUGGAGAGCUUGAGUCACUUUAAUUUCAUCACUUCUUGCCCCGAUGAUUCUUAUCGAACAUACAUCCUCUAUUUGAUCUCGAUUGAGUAAUCAUGAAUGUCGAUCAAUACUUGGAUGACGAUUGUUUGCUAUUUGAUUGCGCUUUCAUUUAAUUUUUGUUUGCAUACCAAACCCCUUCACUUGUACAUGGAGUGGAGGAAGAAACGAAGACCCUAUUCUCUCGGGUAUUUGACGACACAUGUGUACAUUCAACCGAGGCGAGUUCGUAUAAUUCACGAGGAAGUGACGCGAACGGCGCCAACCUGUAGGAGGUAAGCGGGAUUUUAACGAAAAAUCUGGGAUUCUUCUAUCCUUUUGCUUUUUUUUUAAUCUGUUAAGGUCAACAAAUGCCCCCAACAAAAAUGUGGUUCGCGUAUAGAGCGAAUCAUAUUUGUUGUAUGUUGAUUGACCCUGAAGAUCUCUAGAUAUUCAUUCUAGAUGUCACACUAGGGAUUCCAUUUAGCGAAUAUCCAAGAGUUUGCUUGGAUUUCACACUAAGAUUUUCAUUUAGUGGAUCUCCAAAAAUUUAUUUGGAUGUCGCACUAAGAUUUUCAUUUUAUAGAUCUCCAAAAGUCUAUCUCUGUAUCUUCUUCGUUUUAGAUAUACUUGCAAUAUUCAAUGUAGUUGAUAUAUUUACUCUUGGUCAAGUAGAGAUCUCGGGGUAGUGAUAGAGUACUUUGUACUUUAGGUCUCUAGAGCAUCACUCUGUAGAUUGAUGCUAGCAUAUGGCAUUGCGAUCUUUUGCUCUUCUUUUUCCACCACUGUCAUAUUAGUUUCUUGCAUAUUCAUGAAUGCUUGCAUCUUUCUCUACAGUUUGCAAGACUCUUGUUGUUUCAGGUUUUCUAUAGUUACUUCUUGGGCUCAGGUACAUUUUCUUCCAUUCUUCUUAGUUUUGAUUUUACGCUCAUACUGAAAAUGCUUUGUAUUUUGUGCAAGUUAUUACGGGAAGAGAAUUCAAGCUUCAACCAGUUUACUGCCUCAGGAGACUUCAGUUUUAGUACGUUUUUACUUUAUUUGUGUAGUUCUUUUUCUUUCUUUAGCUGCUUACUGACAUUUUUGUUGCUCUAUGCAGGCUUCAAGAUAAGCGGGAUACUUUUUCGUGAGUCAUCUCAGGAGACCUCUGUUUCAGGUCCUAGAAGUACAGAACACAUGGUCUUUAGAAGGAGUGGAAUAAAGCUAUCGGCUUCCUAUUUGGGCGUAGUUUAGGGAACAGAUUGUAGUCCUCUAUGAAGGAUAUUGUACUUUUCCUUUUCUUUCAGCUGAUGUAACCUUGUAAAAAGAUGUAGUCCAUAAAUUUGUAUAUGAAUUCUGAAUUUAAUAAAAUAAAGUGAUUUUAUAAA